rnacentral:rRNA from 1 species
AUGUUCCCAUGCCCAAGAUGCAAGGCAAGCCUUAAGUGUCAUUGGCUACAGCAUGGUGGCAAGUAUUCUUGCUUUGAUUUCCAUAGACAACAUUUGCGCCCUGACCAUCCAUUCACACUAGACAAGAUGAACUUCAUGAAAGGUGAAGUUGUCGAACACUCGGCACCACCUAAGAUGAUGGGUGAACAGAUUCGUGAUGAAUUAAAUGUUCUCCAGCCCGAUCCCAACCGUCCAGGGUAUUUCCUGGGAUAUAAUGAACUACACGCCUGGACUCACAAGCCAUGCUUCUGGGAUCUCCCCUACUUCCACCAGCUCGAGCUUCCCCAUAACAUUGAUGUAAUGCACACUGAAAAGAAUAUUGCCGAGGCCAUUUUUGGCACAUUGUUCAACAUUCCCAAGAUGACGAAGGAUAAUACUAAGGCCAGACUUGAUCUAAUGAAGCUAUGUGAUAGACCCAAACAAAACUUGUGGCAACCCGCGGGCCGGAAAAAUUGGACAAUGCCACGGGCUAGGUUUGUUCUUACAAGGGAACAAAAGAAGGAGAUACUCAUGUGGUUCAAAACUUUGUUGUUCCCUGAUGGGUAUGCAGCGAAUCUAAUGAGGGCAGUGAAUCUUGAUAAAUUGAAGCUCUGUGGGUUGAAGAGUCAUGAUUGGCACAUAUGGCUUGAGCGGUUAAUGCCCGUGAUGAUUCGAGGCUAUAUCCCUGAGGAUGAUUGGGAAGUAUUGGCAGAACUUAGCUAUUUCUUCCGUGUUUUUUGUGCUAAAUAA